CUGGUUAAGGCAGGCCGACACCUUAGAAAGGGAGCAGAAUGAGAGAAAAUAAAGCAGAACUCGCUCUACUAUCUUUGCUUCACUUGGUGUCACCCCUAAGAUGAGCUGAGUGGAGCUCAGCGUUGGACGAUGAAAUUCACUCUGUAUGACCUGUAACAUUUGAUCAUUUUCAGCAUUAAAGACUGACCAAAGAACGAUAGAUUUCCUCUGUCCCAGUCCAGAUUCACUCUAAUCCUCUGGAUCUUCUUCUGGACUGAGAGAAAAAUGAGAGGAGCUGGUGGAAACUGUUUUAUAUUUAUCUUCAUUGAACUAUAUAUUUUCAAUUUUACGCAUUGCAUCAUGGGAAGAAGAACCUUUCCGAAGCGCGAAAACUGGUCUGACGAUAUUUCAAGCUCUCACUAACCGGACCCUGGAACAUCUGUGUUUUGGACUUCGGUUGGAUUAAGAGUUGGAGGAACUUUUCUGGCACCUCCGUGUUGCAUCCAGACAGUCCUGAACUUUACCUGCCAAGCAACUGCACAUCUUUAUAAUGGAGUUUUUCUAGACUUACACCCUGAACAAGGUCAACUGAGAAACAACUUUUCACUGAAAGUCCAUGGAAAAUUUGAGCCUUUUAAAGUUUUAGAAUUAAAUGUGGAUGUUCUCUCAAAGGUGUCAGAAGAACUAAGUGAAAAGAUUUUCUAAACUAUCGCUAGAGAUGCAUUCUACUCUGCUACUGGACUGCAUUUAAUGGCACUAGUUGAUUACCCAGAUGGUCACUGUUUUGUGGAAAAAGUCAAACGUCACUUGGAGAAUCCUGUUCCUCCAAGGAAAAUGUUUGCAUCUACAAAAAGAAAGAUCAUGAAGACUUUUUUUUCCUAAUGAGGACUUGUAUUCAGAUGAAAAUUGUCUGAGUGCAGAUUAUACUUGGGCAGGCAUGGAUCCUGAACAAUUUUUGAGUGAUGCGAAACCAAACGUGGAACCAAAUAUGAAAGGAGAGGUAUGGUGGAAAAAAUUCUAGUUAUAGAUCUAGCUAUGCUGCUUAUAAAAUGAAGCACAUGAACCUGUCUGGGAAGAAGUAAAGGACAUAGAUUUUGUCUUUUUCGACGAGAUGGAAAGAAAACUGCUGAGACAUCUUCCAACUUCUCUGUGGCAAUGAUGAUGUAGUUAAAGGCUGUUUAAGAUAAUAAAAAGUGACAACCCACUAGUUACUUACAAGCUUAUACGGUGUUUCAGACAAACCCUGGCACGUUCUAGGAAAAUCAAAAAGACGAUCUCAGAAAGGCAUGGAAAUGCAUUCAUCAUGUCUGUUGUGGAGAUGAUUCAGACGUUCAGAGGAAGAACCCUCUAAAAAUGGACCAAACAUUGAGCCUCGCCCCGCCUCCAACUCAGGACCAACAAACUGAAAGCCAGGACGCAGGUGAAGCCUCUACAAAUGUUUCUGGUGAUCCUCUUUUGGAGUCAGUCAACCCUGAAGAGCAGCACAAAAACCUCAGGAACAGUUACUGAGAGAGACUGGUUUCCUUGCUUCAAACAUUCAACAUUUUGCACUUCCAAUCAGAUGUUUUGUAUUUUUACAAAUUUAAUGGUAAAUUCAUA